rnacentral:rRNA from 1 species
UACGUAGGGUGCGAGCGUUAAUCGGAAUUACUGGGCGUAAAGGGUGCGCAGGCGGUUGAGUAAGACAGAUGUGAAAUCUCCGAGCUUAACUCGGGAAUGGCAUAUGUGACUGCUCGACUAGAGUGUGUCAGAGGGAGGUGGAAUUCCACGUGUAGCAGUGAAAUGCGUAGAUAUGUGGAAGAACACCGAUGGCGAAGGCAGCCUCCUGGGACAUAACUGACGCUCAGGCACGAAAGCGUGGGGAGCAAACAGG